GCUAGAACUGGACACCUCGGGGGUUUCCUGCUUUAUGGCGAAGGAUGGAGUUUUGCUCUUGUUGCCCAAGCUGGAGUGCAAUGGUGUGAUCUUGGCUCACUGCAACCUCUGCUUCCUGGGUUCAAGUGAUUCCCCUGCCUCAGCCUCCCGAGUAGCAGGGAUUACAGAUGGAGCCUCACUCUGUCACCCAGGCUGGAGUGCAGUGGCACAAUCUCGGGUCACUGCAACCUCCGCCCCCCAGGUUCAAGCGAUUCUCCUGUCUCAGCCUCCCGAGUAGCUAGGAUUACAGGUGCAUGCCACCAGGCCUGGAUAAUUUUUAUAUUUUUAGUAGAGUUGGGAUUUUGCCAUGUUGGCCAGGCUGGUCUCAAACUCCUGACCUCAGGUGACCCAUCCACCUCAGCCUCCCAAAGUGCUGGGACUACAGGUGUGAGCCACCAUGCCUGGUCCCCCACUUGUUGAUUUUGCAGAAAAGAUAGCUGUGUUACAACCCGUCCUAAGGUCAGGUAUGAAUACUUGUGCUUCUUUCUUGGCUCCCCAAGCCAGAGGGCAUUCCUAUGCCCUGGUGAGAGAGCACGGAGUAUUACUUUGGCAGCAUAGUCAGUUACCAGAGGUGGGAAAAGCAAAGGCCAAGCAGGACAUGAGGGGCCCUUGCACUGGCUGGUUCUCCCUGCCUUCACCACCCUCCAGGUGAAUGACUAGGUGAGUAAUGAUUGACUGAGGAGAUAAUGAAUAAUUUAUGGACACUGCUGGACCUCAGUCUCCUCAUCUGAAAGAUGAGUGGUUGGAGAAAUUUAAUGGUUUUCAAAUGCUUUUUUUUUCAGUCUUCAAAUAAGUGUUUACGUAGAAGCACCAUAUCUGAAACAGGUGACAGUGGACCAGUCUGAAUGAAAUGAGGGUUGGCAGGUCUGAGCUCCAAAACCUUCUGAUUGCCUAAGCCCUCCUUGUCUUGCUUGGAUUAUCUCCACACAAAUGGAGAAACUGGACAAGGUGGUCAUGGAGGUCGCUGAAAGCUCAAAGACUCUCUCAUUCCAGGAUCCCCCAUGUUCAUAUGCCAGCAUGGCAUGGGGGUGCUCUGUAGUCAAGCAGGGUCCUUUGGGGAGCUUAGGGAUGGAGCCAGGAAAUGGCUCUGGGACUCAGCGGGUGUCCAGAGUCUCAUCAGCAGGGUUUCUUUACUUUCACUGAGUGGCUGGUGCCUGCACACUGAGUUUUGCAGGCUUACUCUCACAGAGUGAGCUUCCUGCAGGCCCCCCACUGCAACCCCCUUUCCUUCCUGGAGCUGUGUGCUGACUGGUGGGUGAGCACCCAGGCCCUCUCCCCAUGCUGCUGAUGGCCAGAUUUCUCUGCACGCUUGUGGUCGCCACAGUCAAAGCUGAUAAAAUUGCUGAUGCAGAUUGCCUGCCCAGCUGCGAGUGCUGGCACGGGACCAGCGGCCCAGACGUCACUGGAAGUGGUGGGCUGAUUAUUGGCAUCAUCUCCAUUGUCCUACUCAGUUUUUAAAGGCAAAUGGGCUUGCCUCACUCCUACAGCAAAUGGCGGCAUGGGCAAAGAGGGGCAACAGACCCACCCUGAAGACACUCCUCAUCUGGUUGACUUGGUGGGGUUAAGGGAAAAAGAUGUGAUGACUAGGAGCUGAGAGCUUAGUGGUUCUGCCAGAGCUGCAGAGUCUUUGUUGGCCUCGGGGUGGGACCUCUCACAUCUCUGUCAGCUUUUCACAGACACCAACCUGUUAUGAUUCAUUUCACCUGUCCUGAGCACUAACAAGAAAAAUUCCCUGUAGCUUUGGAUGUAUUAUUCUGGAUUUCUCAACUCAUUCAUUUGUUCAUUCAUUCACUAUACCAUUACUGUCUAUUAUAAGGGGGGCACAAUGGUAGGUGCUGGGAAUAAAAAUGGUGUUUAAUGUUUCAUGAGGCUUCCCUGUC